rnacentral:rRNA from 1 species
GACGAACGCUGGCGGCGUGCUUAACACAUGCAAGUCGAACGGAAAGGCCCUGCUUUUGUGGGGUGCUCGAGUGGCGAACGGGUGAGUAACACGUGAGUAACCUGCCCUUGACUUUGGGAUAACUUCAGGAAACUGGGGCUAAUACCGGAUAGGAGCUCCUGCUGCAUGGUGGGGGUUGGAAAGUUUCGGCGGUUGGGGAUGGACUCGCGGCUUAUCAGCUUGUUGGUGGGGUAGUGGCUUACCAAGGCUUUGACGGGUAGCCGGCCUGAGAGGGUGACCGGCCACAUUGGGACUGAGAUGCGGCCCAGACUCCUACGGGAGGCAGCAGUGGGGAAUAUUGCACAAUGGGCGGAAGCCUGAUGCAGCAACGCCGCGUGCGGGAUGACGGCCUUCGGGUUGUAAACCGCUUUCGCCUGUGACGAAGUGUGAGUGACGGUAAUGGGUAAAGAAGCACCGGCUAACUACGUG